rnacentral:lncRNA from 1 species
UAGAAGAUACAAUAACUUCAUAGACUAGAAGAGUUUUCUCUUGAGUAAUAAAGGGCAAUAAAGUACCAACCUGGCAAACAUUUGAGUCUCUCUCAAGUUUUAGAUGACACUAGAGAGAAAGGCAGGCUUCAACUGAUUCAGGUCUUAAUCCUUUGUUGAGGAUUCUCUUGUCCUCCAAAAAGGUCUUUUGAAUAGCACAGAUUUUCUACAAUUAGAUCAGUUUCCCUCAUAUGAUCUUUAAGGUUUAGCAGAAGUUAGAGGCAGUGACUACUAGUUUCUGUCAGUCUCCAAACUGUGUCAGCUUCUCAUCUCCAUAGACUUCUAUGUUAAGUGUUCUGUGUUCUGACUUCUGUUGUCCAGGCUUCUAAUUUUUUUUCCUCCUGUUGGCUACUCUGAUCCCUCUCCUGCAUUUGAUUUCUUCAAUCAUUGACUCCUAAUCUCCUGACUUCUCUUUCUUGAGAUUAUGUGUGGCAACUCAUCUCAUCAGUAAAAACAAACAUGAAGACCUAAAAAAGGAACCAAUCUGAAAACAAGUUGUGACAAUAUGUGUUACAGGGCUCAGACUGUGUCAUCCAGAUUAUAUGUAAAUUGGCAUUUCAAUGUCUUCAGACCCCUUUGCCCAGCUACAGGGAAAUCAGUCCAAACACACCCCAAUACAAAGUUACAUAUUAUAUCUCUGAAAAAAAUGUUGUCAUUACUGUAUCUAAAAUUAUGAAUUUACACAAUGAUAAAGACUUUACUGAAUGACCAGAGUCCAUUUGAUC